AGAGAGCCCCGCAAAUGUGACUGAUGUGUGUGAGGUCAAACCUCUGAGUUGCCUGUGAGACAUUACUGUGUCCUGGACUGACGAACCGUGUCCAGGAAAAGGAACCUGUACAGAAAUACACCCAGGAGGGUUACUGGAGCAGAGCAAAGCUUAUCUACAAGAAUACACUUGGAAUAUUUGUCUGGCUAAUGCGGCAAAAGCAAACGUGGAGGAGGGGGUAUGGCUGCUGGUAACAAAAAAGCAAGGGCAGAAUCAAGGAGUGGCCAUUCAAGCUAAUAAACAAGGUUGAUAGAACAGCGUAGAUCUAAAUUGUAAGUAGAGAAGCUGCUGACGGCUGGUUUCUGGUGAGGAGGGUGAUCGGAAUGAAGAUGCAACAGGAGUGCUCACACAGAACAGAUUCACGCCAGCUGGUGAUCACACUGUUAAUUUCCCUUUCUUCCCUGUGGUGACGUUAUCCCUUUUUUUACCAACUACAAAAUCGUAAGUGUUUGUCGUCUUCAUGAGAACAGCAACUUUCCAGAUGAGAGCAGGAACCACAUCAGGGCACUCGUGAAGGGACGGAACACUGGACCUGAGCUUGGCUGAGGUCAUUGGCAGCGCUGGAUGCACAGGAGCUAGGCUAGUAGGGAGCCAGGAGGGCACAGGGAGUGAAAAUUUGAUCGACCAUUCCCAAAGCACUGAGAAAUCUAAAUGGAAAUAUCCUGGCUUGGCUUGUGACCUCAUUUUUCUUGUUCUUAGUGGAGUUUCGGUGGACUUCUGCUGAUGCGUUACGCGUCUUACAGCAAAGAGUUCUUUUACUUACCACAAAAGCAAACAGGAAACCUCGGUGAUAUUAUUAAUGUUAAUGAAAAGCUUCCACUAUGUGCCUUAAGUUUUGUAAGAAAUACUCAUCUGCCAAUGAAGUUAAGUUAAAUGGCUGUCAUCCAUACAUAGGUUCAAAACAGGGGAGUCAGCUUCAGGAUAUAAAAAACCCCGUGAAAUAAAUUAACAACAGCUAAUUUAUUAUUCCAUUUGACUCUCUCUUUCUCCUUAUGAUGUUUAAAAAUAAUUCAAUCACAAGAUUUAAGAGGAAGUGGAAAUAAUGAUGAUCUGUUUUUAUUAAGGUACAAAACUCUUGGAGUAUCUAUGGCAAACAGAGUAGACAUUGCUGUCUGAGUCAGACUUGAAAGGAAAUGUUUAAUCCCCUAUUUUAAUAACCAGCAUAUGAGCAAC
ensembl:lncRNA